rnacentral:rRNA from 1 species
GAUGAACGCUGGCGGCGUGCCUAAUACAUGCAAGUCGAGCGAACAGAUGAGGAGCUUGCUCCUCUGACGUUAGCGGCGGACGGGUGAGUAACACGUGGAUAACCUACCUAUAAGACUGGGAUAACUUCGGGAAACCGGAGCUAAUACCGGAUAAUAUAUUGAACCGCAUGGGUCAAUAGUGAAAGACGGUUUUGCUGUCACUUAUAGAUGGAUCCGCGCCGCAUUAGCUAGUUGGUAAGGUAACGGCUUACCAAGGCAACGAUGCGUAGCCGACCUGAGAGGGUGAUCGGCCACACUGGAACUGAGACACGGUCCAGACUCCUACGGGAGGCAGCAGUAGGGAAUCUUCCGCAAUGGGCGAAAGCUUGACGGAGCAACGCCGCGUGAGUGAUGAAGGUCUUCGGAUCGUAAAACUCUGUUAUUAGGGAAGAACAAAUGUGUAAGUAACUAUGCACGUCUUGACGGUACCUAAUCAGAAAGCCACGGCUAACUACGUG